rnacentral:tRNA from 1 species
GGUGGCUCAGUGGUAGAGCGCUUGCCUUGCUUGCAUGAGGUCUUGGGUUCGAUUCCUCAGCACCA